GGAUACCUAUAAGGUCUCACAUUUGUUGGUUUAGUAUCAGAUUGUAAUGGGAUAUUGUGAUUAUGACUUCUACAAGGGGGUAAGGAAGUAGGCUCAACAAAAACUUGGGGUAUUGAUCAAUAAGCUUCUGAAUAUCAGGGUGAAUAUUAUCUCUGUUAGCUGCAAACAAAGUAGUAGCACCAGCAAAAUGAAUUCCAACAACCUGCUCUAUCAAAUUAACACAGA
rnacentral:misc_RNA from 1 species